rnacentral:rRNA from 1 species
UAAUACGGAGGGUGCAAGCGUUAUCCGGAUUCACUGGGUUUAAAGGGUGCGUAGGUGGGCAGGUAAGUCAGUGGUGAAAUCUUUGGGCUUAACCCGAAAACUGCCAUUGAUACUAUUUGUCUUGAAUAUUGUGGAGGUCAGCGGAAUAUGUCAUGUAGCGGUGAAAUGCUUAGAUAUGACAUAGAACACCAAUUGCGAAGGCAGCUGGCUACACAUAUAUUGACACUGAUGCACGAAAGCGUGGGGAUCAAACAG